CCGGAAUCGGCGCAGCCAGAGUCGCCCUACAGUCCGGAAUCGGCGCAGCCAGAGUCGCCCUACAGUCCGGAAUCGGCGCAGCCAGAGUCGCCCUACAGUCCGGAAUCGGCGCAGCCAGAGUCGCCCUAGAUCAAGCGACAGUAGGAUAGAGACAGACAGAUAGAACUUGCUACAUUGUGAUAGAGACAGACAGAUAGAACCAGCAACAGUGGGAUUGAGACAGACAGAUAGAUCAAGCGACACUAGAAUAGAGACAGACAGACAGACAGAACAAGCUAAAGUGGGAUAGAGACAGACAGAUAGAAGGAGCUACAGUGGGAUAGAGACAGACAGAAAUAACCAGCGACAGUGGGAUUGAGACAGACAGAUAGAUCAAGCGACAGUAGAAUAGAGACAGACAGACAGACAGAACGAGCUAAAGUGGGAUAGAGACAGACAGAUAGAACCAGCGACUGUGGGAUAGAUACGGACACCCAGAACCAGCGACAGUGGGAUAGAGACAGACAGAAAUAACCAGUAACAGAUGGAUAGAACCAGCUAAAGUGGGAUAGAGACGGACAGACAGAACAAGUGACAGUGGGAUAGAGACAGACAGAUAGGACCAGGGACAGUGGGAUAGAGACAGACGGAUAGAACCAGUGACAGUGGGAUAGAGACAGACAGAUAGAACCAGUGACAGUGGGAUAGAGACGGACAGACAGAACAAGUGACAGUGGGAUAGAGACAGACAGAUAGAACCAGUGACAGUGGGAUAGAGACAGACAGAUAGGACCAGUGACAGUGGGAUAGAGACGGACAGAUAGAACCUGUGACAUUGGGAUAGAGACAGACACAUAGAACGAGCAAUGGUGGGAUAGAGAUAGACAGGUAGAAGGAGCAACAGUGGGAUAGAGACAGACAGAAAUAACCAGCGACAGUGUUAUAGAGACAGACAGGUAGAUCAUGCGACAGUAGGAUAGAGACAGACAGAUAGAACCAGCAACAUUGGGAUUGAGACAGACAGAUAGAUCAAGCGACACUAGGAUAGAGACAGACAGAAAGAACCAGCGACAGUGGGAUAGAUACGGACAGACAGAACCAGUGACAGUGGGAUAGAGACAGACAGAAUGAGCUAAAGUGGGAUAGAGACAGACAGAUAGAACCAGCGACUGUGGGAUAGAUACGGACAGACAGAACCAGUGACAGUGGGAUAGAGACAGACAGAACGAGCUAAAGUGGGAUAGAGACAGACAGAUAGAACCAGCGACUGUGGGAUAGAUACGGACAGACAGAACCAGUGACAGUGGGAUAGAGACAGACAGACAGAACCAGCAACAGAGCGAUUGAGACAGACAGAUAGAACCAGCGACAGUGGUAUAGAAACAGACAGAUGUAACCUGCGACAGUGAGACAGAGACAGACAGAGAGUACCAGCGACAGUGGGACAGAGACAGACAGAUAGUACCAGCGACAGUGGGACAGAGACAGACAGAUAGUACCAGCGACAGUGGGACAGAGACAGACAGAUAGUACCAGCGACAGUGGGAUAGAGACAGACAGAUAGUACCAGCGACAGGGGAUAGAGACAGACGGACAGAACCAGUGAAAGUGGGAUAGAAACAUACAGUUAAAACCAGCGGCAAUGGGAUAGAGACAGACAGAUGCAACCAGUGACAGUGGGAUAGAGAGAGACAAAUAGAACAAGCAACAGUGGCAUACAGACAGACAGAUCGAACCAGCGGCAGUGGGAUACAGACAGACAGACAGACAGACAGACAGACAGACAGACAGACAGACAGACAGACAGACAGACAGACAGACAGACAGACAGACAGACAGACAGACAGACAGACAGACAGAGCAAAAGUGGGAUAGAGACAGACAGACAGAACCAGCGACAGUUGGAAAUAGACAGAUAGAACCUGUGACAGUGGGUUAGAGACAGAUAGAACCAGUGACAGUAGGAUAGAGACAGAUAGAACCUGCGACAGUGGGUUAGAGACAGAUAGAACCUGCGACAGUGGGUUAGAGACAGAUAGAACCUGUGACAGUGGGUUAGAGACAGAUAGAACCAGUGACAGUAGGAUAGAGACAGAUAGAACCUGCGACAGUGGGUUAGAGACAGACAGAUAGAACCGGUGACAGUAGGAUAGAGACAGAAAUAUUGAAGGAGCGACAGUGGGAUAGAGACAGACAGAUAGUACCAGCGACAGUGGGAUAGAGACAGACAGAGAUAACCAGUGACAGUCGGAUAGAGACAGACAGAUAGAACCAGCGACAGUGGGAUAGAGACAGACGGAUAGAACCAGCGACAGUGGGAUAGGGACAGACAGGUAAUACCAGCGACAGUGGGAUAGAGACAGACAGACAUAUAGAACCAGCGACAGUGGGAUAGAGACAGACAGAAAGAGUGAGAGAAGGAUAGAGAAAGAGCUAUAGAAAACGAGGGAUAGCAAGUGUGAGAUAUAGAGAGAGGGAUAGUGAGUAACAGAGAGAAAAGAGAGGAAAAUCAAUGUUCUAACAUAAAUGAAUGAAAUCCAAAUGGAUGUGUCAUGGUAGCACAUUAUUUGCCACUGCAGCCCAGCAGAGAGUAGAGACAAACAAUAGGUCACACUGCACAACCAUCUUUACAUUUGUCUAAUACUGUCAUGCAUCACCCCCUCCUGCAACAAGACUACGCAGGCUUCACACACAGCUUGUGUGAGAGAGUCGGCAAUAGACACGCCAUUUGACAAUGCAUCGCACGCCUCUGCUGACGUUGCACCAGAGGGUUUUUUUCUGCUACCACGCUCUCCGUACCUCAUCCCUCAGCGAGCCACCCUGGAAAGAACACUCCACGGGUGUGAGCGGUGUGAGCGAGAGGCAGGGGGAGGCUAAUCUGUUCCUUUCCCUUCUGAGUCUUGGCUUUGUGUUCAGGGAAAAGAGGAGGGAGCGAGGGAUUGGAGGGAGAGGGGGUGUGGGGAAUCUGAAGAGGGCUACAGUAGUACAUGAAUGCUGCACAACAGAUGAAAUGGAUUGCUAGAGCUUUGGACAUGGUUGUGGUUUCCGCUAUCUUGUUUUGUUUUUUUUGCAUUAUGUCAACAUGGUGGAGAUAUGCGUUUGCUGUUAUACUGUGGUCAAUGUCAAUCACAGUCUGUAUGAAAAAUAUUAGAUGUUUACAUUUUAAUUACACACUUCAGAAACCUUUUGUCUACUAUUGUUCUGUUGGGUGUAUUUCUGCGUAUAUUAGCAUAUUAGCCAAUAGUUUAUAUUAUUAGAAAGAUUACUUGGGGGAUGUUAUCAUUGCAACUAAGGAGAGGCAGACGACCUUCCUGUCUGCUACCUUCUGGAGUCUGAUGCCCUGUCUGGAGUCUAGACCGUUUGUAAUGGAAAUAUCUUGUGCAUUUUAAAUUCACUUUUGGAAAGUCCAUUGUCAAAUCCCGGAAGAGAUGGAUUGGAUGCCAACACAAUAAUAAUAAAGGUACCCAUACAAUGCGUAACAAAAGUUAGACAAAUACAAUGCUACCAUAGCCUCUCAACAACUGUGAUCUGUGCUGCAGAUAAAACAAAGUUAAGC
rnacentral:lncRNA from 1 species